AAUCCUGGCUCAGGAUGAACGCUGGCGGCGUGCCUAAUACAUGCAAGUCGAACGCUUUGUGGUUCAACUGAUUUGAAGAGCUUGCUCAGAUAUGACGAUGGACAUUGCAAAGAGUGGCGAACGGGUGAGGUAACACGUGGGAAACUUACCUCUUAGCAGGGGAUAACAUUUGGAAACAGAUGCUAAUACCGUAUAACAAUGACAACCGCAUGGUUGUUAUUUAAAAGAUGGUUCUGCUA
rnacentral:rRNA from 1 species